rnacentral:rRNA from 1 species
GACGAACGCUGGCGGCGUGCUUAACACAUGCAAGUCGAACGAAGAGCGAUGGAAGCUUGCUUCUAUCAAUCUUAGUGGCGAACGGGUGAGUAACGCGUAAUCAACCUGCCCUUCAGAGGGGGACAACAGUUGGAAACGACUGCUAAUACCGCAUACGAUCUAAUCUCGGCAUCGAGGAUAGAUGAAAGGUGGCCUCUACAUGUAAGCUAUCACUGAAGGAGGGGAUUGCGUCUGAUUAGCUAGUUGGAGGGGUAACGGCCCACCAAGGCGAUGAUCAGUAGCCGGUCUGAGAGGAUGAACGGCCACAUUGGGACUGAGACACGGCCCAGACUCCUACGGGAGGCAGCAGUGGGGAAUCUUCCGCAAUGGACGAAAGUCUGACGGAGCAACGCCGCGUGAGUGAUGACGGCCUUCGGGUUGUAAAGCUCUGUUAAUCGGGACGAAAGGCCUUCUUGCGAACAGCUAGAAGGAUUGACGGUACCGGAAUAGAAAGCCACGGCUAACUACGU